UACGGAGGGUGCGAGCGUUAAUCGGAAUUACUGGGCGUAAAGCGUGCGUAGGUGGUUGUAUAAGUUAUCUGUGAAAUCCCUGGGCUUAACCUGGGCAGGUCAGAUGAUACUGUAUGACUCGAGUAUGGGAGAGGGUAGUGGAAUUUCCGGUGUAGCGGUGAAAUGCGUAGAGAUCGGAAGGAACACCAGUGGCGAAGGCGGCUACCUGGCCUAAUACUGACACUGAGGCACGAAAGCGUGGGGAGCAAACAGG
rnacentral:rRNA from 1 species